GGAGGGUGGGUUUGGGGCAGGACAGCCGGGGUGAGGGUAUGGCUGAGUGGAUGGAGCAGCCUUAGUCGCCGGGAGCGGCUCAGCUACAGGCGAUAACCCCAGGAGGUGGUAGGUGUCUGCUUGUGCUAGCUCUUGUGCAACUGGCCUGGCCAAAUGGGUGCGUUUCAGGCUGUCUGCUCUUGGCCAAACUGUAUCUGGUUUAUGGCCAAGGGAGGAAAACAAAACAAAACAAAAAUCUCAUGGACCAAGCACAUGGCCUCCCAAGCUGUGGUGGGUUUUGAACUUGGUAGGUUGUUGAGCCUUUGUGUGCUUUGGUAUCUCCAUCUAUGAACUCGAGAUAACAGUUGGCUUCAUGCAGGGAUUAAUUAUCGCGUCUUGUAGUCACGUAUUUGUUUAUUUGUUUUUACUGUAGAUUACAGCUGGAGGAAUUCUAAACAGUCCACCUCUCCUUGUCAUGGUGUUUAAGCGCAUUGUGCUGCUGUCUGAACAGAGGAAAUCACUGAGGAAAAGUAAGACAAAUGUGGAUCGCUUCAAGCAUAUGUUGUUGCUCAGAGAAGCGCCAGUGGUGCUGCGAGGGCAGGGCAGAGGCGAGCAGGCAGAGGCAGAGAGAUGACCUUCCCUUUCGGGAGCGGCUAGCCCUUACGUCAGGUUUGCUGCCUCACAAAACUCUGACCUACGGUUAUUUUUGAUGCUGGGCUGCCUUAAUUUUCUGGAGACUGAAUGAAGGAUUAAAGUAGUGUGCUUAUGGCAUUUGGAAAUUAAGUUUUUAGGGGGAAAAAAAAAAAAGAAAUCUUAAUUCAGCGUGUGCUAUUAGAUGGAAAUGCUUAAAUUGUUAGGGAUGGGACAGAUACGUGUCCACGGUAUUCAUUCCUACAAUUCAGUUAGGGGUUAAAUCCUUUUUUCUUUUUAUUAUUUUUCUGCUUUUUAAGACCUCUAACCCAAAGUCUACUAUCUAAAGUCUCUAGAGAGAGAAGUCUUCAAAGACACGGGCUUUGUAGCUAUAAAUAAUGUACACAGCAGAGUACAAAAAUGGAGUCAAGGAGAAGCUCCACCUUACCUGAGCGUAAUUGCGAAGGCCGGUAUUGAGAGCCGCGGGAGGAUAGCUGUACCCCGGUCGCGCAAAAGGCUGCAAGGAGCGCUGUCACCCCUGUCAUCCAUCUUGACUAAACACCUUCUGAGAUCUGAGUCUUCCUCCAACGCUUGGAUAUCAACUGGUAAAUCAUGACUGCAUUGUACUGAAAUACGUUGGAUUUCAGGGGCCAAAUGUGGCGAGGUUUUGAAUAGCGUGGCUAUAGACGUACCUGGAACUAAACAUCUGCUUGAGCGCUUUGUUAGGUUGGAUGUGUUAGAAUAUAGAGAAGUUUGCAAGUCUGAACCCUUGCUAUGAAUGAAAACACUGUGGUAAAAAAAUGUAAAUAAAUGCCGCACAUACUUUGUGUAAGAGCCCUUCGCAAUAUCUAUAAAUAUGGUAAUUUUGCUGUUUCCCAAUGUUGAGCUUUAAAUAGGAGACAGACACAAGAAAUAUUACAAAGCCAGCAUUUUUCUUUUCAUGUAUUAAUUUCAUAGUUUCGGUUUUAACUUGCCUGAAAACACUUAAUGGAAAUUAGUGUCUUAAAGAAGAUUGCCUUUGAAAGGAAAUUAUUUGUUCUUAAAAAAAAAAAAAAAAAAAUCAUUGGAAUAGCUUCCUGGUUUAACUGAAUUUUCAUAUGAAUUCAAAACUCAUCUCGGGUCAGACUCUCCAGGAAAACUUUCCCGUGUGUUCUGUAGCAGUCGAUUCAUUCCUCGCCACCUUCAUUUUGCAGCUUUAAAUGGCAGGUUCUCUGAAAAGCCAUCUACUUCAAAGCUUUAUAAAAUAAAGCUUUGGAUAAAUUACUGAGCUAGAAAUUAUGCUGGCUGUACCCAGCUCUGUGCCUGGAUGUGGGAAUACUUGGCACUGGGUGUGGAAUUCCAAGGAAAAUUACCUCUUUCCUUUCCAUGAGACCCUGUUGGCUUGGCAAACUCCGAGAGCAGCAACAAUGAAAACCGCUGCAGAUGAGCAGGCACGGAAGACUCCGGUUCCCCUUUUCCACAGCUCCGGAAAACACAUCCCGAACAACUGUUGAAUAUUAAUACGCGGCGUAACUGGUGCAACAAUGUGCUAAAGAUGGGAUUAAUACGCAGCCUGGCUUCUGAAGACUACACGUCCCAGCGUGGCAGGUAGGAGACACCAGGCCACGGAGCAGCACUGCAUGCUGGAACUUGUAGUACCUCUAAAAUGCAUCCUCGCACGACGCGGGGUGUGCGGGCAGUUACCCGCCUCACGACGUGGGGUGCCUGGGCUUCGGGUGUCCUACUGACGGUGAUGGGCCCCAGGCUGUAUUAUUUUGGACUUUUUAAAAUCUGUUUUUGCAAGCUUUAGAUGAUACAAUACUGACAACAGGACACUCCUAAGCAGCAAAAUCGUUGCUUUGUCUCUCACGAAGAGACAACCCACUGCCCUCUGUAUUUAGAUUUCUGGUCUAACGUGUCUGCGGAGCUGAUUUGUCCGUAAUUGUUUGUUUUCUUCAGAGUCUUUUUGAAGUUUAUGUCUCCGAGCCAAUUCCUUAUAUUAAAAAUAAAUUCUUCCAAGCCACCUAUAAAAUGUCAACUGUGAUUAAAGCCUGACUCCUCAUUUCAAGACUUGUCUCCGAAGCCAUGUGAGGUCACUCUAUGAGUCAGCAUUUGAGAGGACCGUUAUUCCUGAGAGCAUGGGUAAAGCCCAAAGUUCAGAUUUGCUUGCUUAAAUGGUUUCACUGCAUUUUAAACUGCUUUGCAUCGUGCUGAAAGAAAUGUAAACUGCAGGGUCAGUUUGGCACAGAACUCGUGAUAGUUCGGGCACCUCAAAUCUUGGAAAAAAAAUCCUUUAUAUUAUUGUAGAAGUUGGAUUUCUGUUAGGAAAAGUUUUACCUCCUAUGUACUGAAGAGGAGGGUGGAGUGGGAAGCUGUGCUUAAGGCAUAAACUUUCAAACUAUCUUCUGUUGAAAUAAAACUUGGGGAACUGUAAAAAUCUCCAGGCAAGGGCUUUGUCUUUUGUACAGUGCCCAGCAGAACAGAGCCGAAGUCUGAUAGAGCUUUCUGGACACGGGAACUUUAUUGUUUUCU